rnacentral:rRNA from 1 species
AACGAACGCUGGCGGCAUGCCUAACACAUGCAAGUCGAACGAGACCUUCGGGUCUAGUGGCGCACGGGUGCGUAACGCGUGGGAACCUGCCCUUAGGUUCGGAAUAACUCCCCGAAAGGGGUGCUAAUACCGGAUAAUGUCUUCGGACCAAAGAUUUAUCGCCUUUGGAUGGGCCCGCGUUGGAUUAGCUAGUUGGUAGGGUAAAAGCCUACCAAGGCGACGAUCCAUAGCUGGUCUGAGAGGAUGAUCAGCCACACUGGGACUGAGACACGGCCCAGACUCCUACGGGAGGCAGCAGUGGGGAAUAUUGGACAAUGGGCGAAAGCCUGAUCCAGCAAUGCCGCGUGAGUGAUGAAGGCCUUAGGGUUGUAAAGCUAUUUUACCCGGGAUGAUAAUGACAUUACCGGGAGAAUAAGCUCCGGCUAACUCCGUG